rnacentral:lncRNA from 1 species
ACCCCGUCUCAUCCAUCACUCAUCUUCAUCAGAGACCUUCCCCUUUAGAACCCUAAUACCCGCCGCCACCAAAUCCCACGGCCUAAGGGUGGCGGUGCCACCACCAAUGAGCCCCAAAUUAACACCCCAACCUCCCCUCGUCAUCCUCUUCCCAUAUCUGGUGUUUGUAUUUCUCGAAUAAUAGCCAAAAGGCUCGAAUGUUGGUUUGAAAAAUUCGGCCAAAAUGCUACUUUGUCAAAAACUUCUCAAAUUCAUACCCCACAGUCCCCAUGACUCCCUUGACUUGAAAUCCAAGCCAAAAACCUUCGAAUAUAACUAGUUAGGGUCGAAUAUCAAAUCUAGGGUUCAUGGGUUCGAACCUGUCUUGGGGCGUUUUGAAGGCAAUUGAUUCAUGUUAAUGUUAUGUGCCUAUUUUAUACAAAAUAGACACAUAACAUUAGCCGAAAAUCAAUUUUGUUGGUUUAUCUUGGGGAUUCUGAAAUGAGUUAGUUUCUUCCUAAUUUUUUCCUUUCUGUCUCGUUUAUGGGUAUGGUUAUUUGUGUUCUUUGAUGCAAUUGUUUAGUUUUGCUUCCAGUUUGAUUUGAAUUUUAGACCUGGGUCGUUUAAAUUUUAGGAUUAUUUUUUGUUUGUUCAGUUAAUUGGCUCUUAUUGGAAUAAUUUUAAUUUUUUGUCUGGUUAGUUUAAUUGUAAGUAUUGGUUUAAUUUCGAUUAGUUCAAAUUGACUAGUUUAGUUGAAUGUCCUUUUUGUAAUUUGAUACUUUUUUUUCCUUUUUAGAUUUUUAAUUUAAUUAUGUUUCCAACCUGUUUUGAAACUGUUUGAUUCUUGUCUGAUUGAAUUAAUAUUUUGGUUAGUUUCAUUAAGUUUAUUUUAAAUUUAUCUUCACUUCAGUGUUCAUUUGCAAGUUAAUUAGCUUUAGGAUAUUGGAUAUAGUUGAUUAGUUCAGGGGGUGCUCAAGGGUAAUUUGGGUAUUCAAGAUAGGAGAAUAAUGCUCUAGUUAACACUAGAGUUCCCUAGCUCUUUCUACAAUGGGGUUCAGUUCAGAUUUUAGUAAUUUUUAGGAUAGUGACUUGAGGCAUAAGUUAGAAACUAAGGGAUCAAACUGAAAAUAAAUAGGAUAAAUUAAAUGGUAGGCUGUGUGUUUUUUCACAAUAAUAAUUAACUAGACUUCUUUCUUUAUUACAUUUAGAGAUAAAUUAAAAUAGAAAAUUAUAGAUUGCUUUAGGUUUGAUUUUUAAUAAUAAGAAUGAGACGAGCCUUGCCAAAUAAAAAUACAAAUUGCGGGGCCCUCAAUAAACGUUUGUGUUAAAAUGCUUAGAUUUCGGGGGUUGUUUAGCGAAUUUCAUGGCCAUCCCCAAAGAUAAUAACGUGUUAGUAUCUUUACGCGCGUAUUUUAAUAACAUUACCUUCCUAAAUUCGAGUAUGCAUUUAUGUGACCCAAAUCCAAAUCUCAACGAAGUCGAAAUAUGUCAACAACCACGGAUGUAUUUAUGUGACGUGGUUCGAGGCUACGUUAUAAUUUUCAUUAAAAAUAAUAAUAAUAAUAAGCAGUUUAAAAUUAAAAUCAUAUAAGCCAAAACAUAUUUUUAAAAUCAGAUAAAUCCAAAUAUAACAGUUGAGUGACUGUGCUAGAACUACAGAACCCGAGAAAGGCUACCCCUUCUCUCGGGUUAACAGAAUUCCUUACUCGGAUUUUUGGUUCUAGACUGUUAACAGAGUCAUAUUUUCCUCGGUUCGGGAUUCAACCGGUGACUUGGGACACCAUUAAUCUCCCAAGUGGCGACUCUAAAAUCUUAAUAAUAAAUCUCGUUCUGAUUGUCAUUUAAUUAAAAAAAUUCCUUUAUGCCCUUGUGGGUGUAGUGAAAAGGAGGUGUGACAGCAACUACAAUGAUUUACUAAAAUUAGAAGAAAAUUUUUGGAAGUUAAAAUCUAGAAUAAGUUUGCUACGCGAGGAGGAUUCCAAUACAAAAAAGCUUCAUCUAUCUGCCCUAAAGCGUCAGACGUAACUACAUUACUACUCUACAAGAUUCGGUGGGCAAUUGGAUCUUAAACCAACAAGAUAUUAACCUUUAUAUUGAAAAUCAUUACCAUAAUCUAUUUACCACAACUCACACUGACAAUAACAUUCCUAAGUUACAAGACAUUCAUCAUGUUAUCACUCCUACUGACCUUCUAAAAACUUGAUGCACCAGUUACCUCUUUAGAAAUCACUGAUGCACUUAAAACUUUCCAACCUUUUAAAGCACCUAGACCGGAUAGUCUUUAUCCAUAUUUCUUUCAAACGUAUCGGACUAUUGUAGUGUGAUAUCCUUUUGUAAGGAUAUAAUCAACUCACAACAAUUACCUCCUGAACUAAAUAAAACUUAUCUAUGUCUCAUUUCAAAAACACAACAACCAUCCCUCAUAACCCAAUAUCGGCCUAUAAGUCUUUGUAACACUAUAUACAAGUUAAUUACUAAAAUUAUUGUGGCAUGUAUUAAACCAAUAUGAGCUACUAUCAUCAGCCCGGAACAAUCAUCUUUCUUGCCUAUUCGUAGAGCCUCUGAUGAUGCAAUCCUUGUCCAAGAAAUAAUGCGCCACUUUAAGAAAAAAAUAGGUGCUCAAUCUUCUUUUCUCCUUAAACUAGAUCUAAAAAAGGCUUUUGAUAAAUUAGAAUGGGGCUUCAUCCAUGAAACACUUAAUUACUUCAAAUUUCCUCCUAAAUUAAUUAAAUUAAUCAUGUCCUGAAUCACAACCUCUUCCUUAUCUAUUAUCAUUAAUGGUCAACCAUCACCCUUCUUGUCACCGUCAAGAGGCAUUCGACAAGGGGAUCCUCUAUCACCUUACAUAUUCAUACUUUGUAUAUAAAUGCUCUCACGAAAAAUACACAUGGAGGUUGACUCCCAAAAAUGGCAUCCCAUCAAAUUAUCCCGAUAAGGACCAUCUCUCUCUCAUAUGUUAUUUGCAGACGACAUCACCAUCCUUUCAAAAAAUAAAUCCAAUAGCAUAAAUUCAAUUAUCGAUACUCUUAAUUUCUUUACCCAAGUUUCUUACUCACUAUAAAUUACAAUAAAUCAAAAAUAUUCUUCUCAAAAAACACAUCCCAAAAUGCUAAUGAUACAGUCAUUAAUUCUUUUCACGUGAGGGAAGGAUCAAAAUUUGGGCAAUACUUGGGAUAUCCUAUUUUCACAAACAAACCUAAGACGGAUGGCUUCCAAUUCUUGCUAUAUAAUUUCAAGACUAGAUUAGCGGGAUGGAAAACUACUUGUCUUACCAUGACAGGAAGAAUCACGCUUAUUAAAUCAACCCUAGAUUGUCUACCGAGCCAUGUAAUGCAAAUGAUCAAACUCCCCAUUCAUAUUACCCAAAGACUAGAUAAAUAUCAGCGUAAUUUUCUUUGAGGAUCCACCCCUAACCAUCGUACAUUACACCUUAUCAACUGGACUACCUUUCAACAAUCAAAACCUAAUGGGGGAUUUGGAAUACAAAACCUAAGUGCAAAAUAGAGCUUUAUUAUGCUCUCUAGCCUGGAGACUGUUCCACUCCUCUUCGACCCACUGGGCUUCCAUUCUAAUUUCCAAAUAUACAUCCUCAACCACUUCUACUCAUACCUCCUCCGCUUGGAAAGCCAUCCGGCAUGGAUGGGCCUCAUGUCAACUUGGUAUCCAUGGCAUGUUGCCAACGAUACCCAUAUUCAAUUUUGGACAGAGCCCUGACUAGGAACUAACCUCAAACUCAGAAACAUAAUUGAAGGACCUUUUUCAGACAUGACCAAUGUGCAAUACUGACCUCUUAUAUUAACGGUAACUUCCUAAACAUUUCUCAACUAUCUUUUGAGCUCCCUAUUGAUUUAUAUCAACAAAUUCAAACCCAAUAUAUACCUUCCUUAACCAACCCUCAAUCCCAUGAUCACAUUUACUAGAUCAUCACAUCUAAUGGGAAAUUUUCUGUUAAAUUCCGAUAUCACCAACUAUGUCCAAUGGCUAUGGAAAGUACAAAUUCUUCAAAAAAUAAAAUAUUUCAUCUGGCAAAUGUCACACCAUCGACUACCAAAACCUAAUUAACUUUAUAAUAUACGUGUCACUAACAACCCUCUUUGCCCAGUAUGUCACUCCAACGACGAUACUAUAGCACAUUUAUUCUUUGAAUGUCACGAAGCAAAAAUGGUUUGGCAACAACUUGGUUGCCAACAUUACAACAACCAUAUUCAAACUUUGCAUGAACAAACAACCUUAAAACUAUCGCGUAUCAUUCUCCAAAAUAAUUUUAAUAACAAUACCUCAAGCUCCACUACUAUUAUUUACUAUGCCCUAUGGCACAUAUGGAAAAGUCGAAAUCGCCUUGUCUUUGACAAUGCAUAUAACCUCCAUAAUAUACAUCACAUAUUAGGACAAGCUGCUGAGUAUUUUCAUCUAGGUAGUACACAUAUCACACACAAUAACCCUCAAACAUACAUAGACGUUAAGUGGCACCCUCCUACUCACCAAAGGUAUAAAUUGAAUUCAGACGGUGCCUAUAACUUCACAAACAACAAAAGGGAGUUUGGGGUAUCAUUGGAGACUCAAUGGGUAAUUGGGUUAUGGGAUACAUGGGAACAUGUACAAAAGGGAACCAUCACUACAUGGAACUCACAGCCUUACUAGAAGGGUUACAGCUUGCUCUACAUCACAACCUUGCACCGUUGGAAGUUAAUGUGGACUCCAUUGUCUUUGUACUUCGUCACAUUAAUCCACACUACUCAUCUUUAUCACAUGAAUGCAGGUACCUCCUCCAAUAUUUGGAUAGGCCAUGGGUAAUUCACACUUACAGGGAGCAAAAUCAAGUAGCAGAUACAUUAGCUAAACAUGGAACAACAUUAGAUGCAAUGCUACCACAACCAUCUUCUUGCAACCAC